UGUGAUGGGUAGGGGAGCGUCGUCUGCCGGGUGAAGCGGCACUGGAAGGUAGUCGUGGACGGUUGACGAGUGAGAAUGCAGGCAUGAGUAGCGAUACAAACGUGAGAAACGUUUGCGCCGAUUGACUAAGGGUUCCUGGGUCAAGCUGAUCUGCCCAGGGUAAGUCGGGACCUAAGGCGAGGCCGACAGGCGUAGUCGAUGGAUAACCGGUUGAUAUUCCGGUACCCGCUGUGAAGCGUCAAACAUCGAGCAUCGUGAUGCUAAGGCCGUGAAGCCGUUCCGGACCCUUCGGGGAAAGGAAAGUGGUGGAGCCGCCG
rnacentral:rRNA from 1 species